AUCAGCCUUUCGGGUGCGAUUCUGUGGAGUUUGAGGAGCUUAACACCUUCAUGCUUUGCAUAUUCGUGCUCUUGGGUGUACUUGCCCGUGUGGUUGGUUAACAUCAAUUUCGGGCACCAUAAAAUGGCUGGAGGAAUGUAGCUUCGAUCUUGUAUUGAAGUGUUAUAGCCUUCGGUAGAUGUGGUGAUCGAGAUUGAGGAUUGCAACGGAUACCUUUCGGGGCUACCUGUCUGAUCUCUGAUCGUUGCUUUGGUGCUGAAAGCGUGCUUAUAGUUAUCAAAGUCGAUGGUCAAUAGGUUAGAACGGGUUAAAUUCGUUAAGGAUGUUGACGUAAUGGCUUU
rnacentral:rRNA from 1 species